AGAAACAGGCAGCCUGACUAGAGAACAAACUACCAAUUAACGAGCGAGGAAACAGGGCCAGAGAAUUGGAACAAAAUACAAGGCUGCCUCUGAAAGGAAUAUCUUUGUGCUGAUGUGUCCAUCAAGAGAACAUACACAGAAGUGACACUUGCCAGUAAUUUGCAAGCAGAUGGAACUUCAAUAUGGCAAUAGAGAAAGAAUCAAUUAGACCAGAGUCUCCUCAGGAAGACUUUCUAUAGGUGGACGGUCCCCUGGAGAGCCCGCUGUGUUGGAAGAUGUAGAAUAUUCAUAUAUCUGGUGAGCAUCUGCUAGAUGCCAGGGUUGGGGAGAGUCAAGUUGAAGCAAGCAUGAACCCUCAAGGACCUACCAUUUCAAGGCAAGAAAUAGAUACAAAUACAGCGUAAUUAUCUCUCCAAUUAAAGAGCAACCAAGGGACAACUGAACUGGAGGUUCUGCAGAAUUACAACUAAGCACGCAGCCGAGGAAUCUACUCAGCUUUGAUCUCUUAUCGCUCUGCACACACAGCCCUUUCUCUGUAAGGCUAGCUGCUCUCAGCAUCACUGUGUCUAAUCAAACGUGUCACACCUCCACUGAGAAAAUAUUUACUGGAUAGCUACUAGACAUAAGGAUGCAGAAAUGAAUUAGAAAAAUUCCUCGCCCUUGUUCAAAGCUAUGCUGGCUCUUAGAACAUCUGAGCCCCCACUGUUUCAUCUUUAGAGGAUCCCAGCUGCUGGGGUGUGAGGCCAGUGCUGGAGCCAGCAGUCUCUGACCCAGAAGGGACCUGAGGUGCUAAAGAAAAGGGUACAAGCUGGAAAAGGGGAAAAUGAAUCAUGCUACAGGCCAAGUGUCCAUCACUGAUUCCCAGAGAUGCCCUUUGUGUGGUAGGCACUUCCAUGUGGACUCGCUACAGAGUUUGGAGUUCCUGAACAACAUGGACAGUGUUAAUUUGGAUUCCAUGCUUCAUGGCACAGAAUUGGAGCACUAACUACUCAGUGAUGACUUUCUCUUCCUCUAGCUAAGGUGAUCAACAAGUUUCCUUGUUCUUUCUCCAAGUAGUAGAAGAAAGUAAAGGUCAUAAGACCCUAAUUCCAGAGGGCCCUACCCUAUAACCAGAAGGAAGAACUAUUGCACAGAGAAUCUAAGAAGAAUCUAGACAGACAGCCCUUGCUGGAUUUCUCCACUCUGUUAGCAUUCGAUCAUUUGCCUUUUGUCCAGUCAUAUUUCUGCAUGGCUGUCCAUACUUUGUUGAACCUAAGCACAAAAUGGAAAGUUUUCCCUGUAUCUUUGGGUCGUCAUUCUGAAGGCUCCCAUGUUAUGUAAAACUAUGAUCAAAUAAAUAUGCAUGCCUUUUCUCCUAUAA
rnacentral:lncRNA from 1 species